AACUAAGCAUAUCAAUAAGCGGAGGAAAAGAAACCAACAGGGAUUGCCCUAGUAACGGCGAGUGAAGCGGCAACAGCUCAAAUUUGAAAUCUGGCGCAAGCCCGAGUUGUAAUUUGUAGAGGAUGCUUCUGGGUAGCGACCGAUCUAAGUUCCUUGGAACAGGACGUCAUAGAGGGUGAGAAUCCCGUAUGUGACCGGCCCGCACCCUUUACGUAGCUCCUUCGACGAGUCGAGUUGUUUGGGAAUGCAGCUCUAAAUGGGAGGUAAAUUUCUUCUAAAGCUAAAUACCGGCCAGAGACCGAUAGCGCACAAGUAGAGUGAUCGAAAGAUGAAAAGUACUUUGGAAAGAGAGUUAAAAAGCACGUGAAAUUGUUGAAAGGGAAGCGCCUGCAACCAGACUUCGCGGCAGUGUUCCGCCGGUCUUCUGACCGGUUCAUUCUCUGUCGCGAGGCCAUCAUCGUCUGGGCCCGCCGGAUAAGACCUGAGGAAUGUGGCUCCCCCUCGGGGGAGUGUUAUAGCCUCUGGUGAUGCGGCGUGGCUCGGGCGAGGUCCGCGCUUCGGCAAGGAUGAUGGCGUAAUGGUUGUCGGCGGCCCGUCUUGAAACACGGACCAAGGAGUCUAACAUCUAUGCGAGUUUUUGGG
rnacentral:rRNA from 1 species